CCUACGGGAGGCAGCAGUGAGGAAUAUUGGUCAAUGGGCGCAAGCCUGAACCAGCCAUGUCGCGUGCAGGAUGACUGCCCUAUGGGUUGUAAACUGCUUUUAUAUGGGAAGAAAUGUAUCUACGAGUAGAUAUUUGCCGGUACCAUAUGAAUAAGCAUCGGCUAACUCCGUGCCAGCAGCCGCGGUAAUACGGAGGAUGCGAGCGUUAUCCGGAUUCAUUGGGUUUAAAGGGUGCGUAGGCGGAAGUGUAAGUCAGGGGUGAAAGUUUGCAGCUCAACUGUAAAAUUGCCUUUGAUACUGCAUUUCUUGAGUACAUUUGAGGUAGGCGGAAUGUGUUGUGUAGCGGUGAAAUGCUUAGAUAUAACACAGAACACCGAUUGCGAAGGCAGCUUACUAAACUGUAACUGACGCUGAUGCACGAAAGCGUGGGGAUCGAACAGGAUUAGAUACCCUGGUAGUCCACGCCGUAAACGAUGAUAACUAGUUGUUUGCAAUAGACCGUAAGCGACAAAGCGAAAGCAUAAGUAUCCC
rnacentral:rRNA from 1 species